GAUGAAGAACGUAGCGAAAUGCGAUAAGUAAUGUGAAUUGCAGAAUUCAGUGAAUCAUCGAAUCUUUGAACGCACAUUGCGCCCCCUGGUAUUCCGGGGGGCAUGCCUGUCCGAGCGUCAUUACAACCCUCAAGCUCAGCUUGGUGUUGGGCCCCGCCGCCCCGGCGGGCCCUAAAGUCAGUGGCGGUGCCGUCCGGCUCCGAGCGUAGUAAUUCUUCUCGCUCUGGAGGUCCGGUCGUGUGCUCGCCAGCAACCCCCAAUUUUUUUCAGGUUGACCUCGGAUCACGUAGGGAUACCCGCUGAACUUAAGCAUAUCAAUAAGCGGAGGA
rnacentral:misc_RNA from 1 species